rnacentral:rRNA from 1 species
CAGUAGCACGGUAAUACGAAGGGUGCAAGCGUUAAUCGGAAUUACUGGGCGUAAAGCGUGCGUAGGCGGUGAGUUAAGUCUGCUGUGAAAUCCCCGGGCUCAACCUGGGAAUGGCAGUGGAUACUGGCUCGCUAGAGUGUGUCAGAGGAUGGUGGAAUUCCCGGUGUAGCGGUGAAAUGCGUAGAGAUCGGGAGGAACAUCAGUGGCGAAGGCGGCCAUCUGGGACAACACUGACGCUGAGGCACGAAAGCGUGGGGAGCAAACAGGAUUAGAGACCCCCGUAGUCCCUGUCUCUUAUACA